rnacentral:rRNA from 1 species
AUUGAACGCUGGCGGCAGGCCUAACACAUGCAAGUCGAGCGGUAGAGAGGAGCUUGCUCCUCUUGAGAGCGGCGGACGGGUGAGUAAUGCCUAGGAAUCUGCCUGGUAGUGGGGGAUAACGUUCGGAAACGGACGCUAAUACCGCAUACGUCCUACGGGAGAAAGCAGGGGACCUUCGGGCCUUGCGCUAUCAGAUGAGCCUAGGUCGGAUUAGCUAGUUGGUGAGGUAAUGGCUCACCAAGGCGACGAUCCGUAACUGGUCUGAGAGGAUGAUCAGUCACACUGGAACUGAGACACGGUCCAGACUCCUGCGGGAGGCAGCAGUGGGGAAUAUUGGACAAUGGGCGAAAGCCUGUAUCCAGCCAUGCCGCGUGUGUGAAGAAGGUCUUCGGAUUGUAAAGCACUUUAAGUUGGGAGGAAGGGCAGUAAAUUAAUACUUUGC